rnacentral:rRNA from 1 species
ACUGGGGCUUUAAAGGGGCGCGUAGGCGGCUUGCCAAGUCAGGGGUGAAAUCUUUUCGGCUCAACCGGAAAAGUGCCUUUUGAUACUGGCGAGCUAGAGGGAGGUGAGGGGGUGCGUUGGGAACUUUCUGGUGGAGCGGGUGAAAUGCGUAGAUAUCAGAAGGAACGCCGGUGGCGAAAGCGACGCACUGGAUCUCUACUGAGCUGAGGCGCGAAAAAGCUUAGGGGGGGAGCAAAAACGGGGG